GUAGCUAGAGGAGAUUAUCUUUACUUAAUUAUCCUUACCAUUGAUUAUCUAUGGUAUAGGUACAUGUAUGAGAUACACAUAUCUGAAGCCUUUGAAAUAUUCAAAAAAUUCAGAUAUGAAGUAGAGAAGUAAACCGAAAAAAUUUUCAAGAUAUUUUGAUCAGAUCGAAGAGAAUAAUACCUAAAGAAUUUUUUGAUUAUCUUAAGAACAACAGCAUAAUCUCAUAAUGGACUCCACCAAAAAUAUCUUAACUCAAUGGGGUUUCAGAAUGGAGA
rnacentral:lncRNA from 1 species